UAGCUUUAGGCUAGCCUCGAUACAGAUUUGCGGAGGUAGAGCACUGAAUUUCCUAGGGGGCGUCAAAGCCUACCGAAGAAUAUCAAACUCCGAAUGCCGCGUAAUCGAUUAUCGGGAGUCAGACUGCACGAGAUAAGUUGGGCGGUCAAAAGGGAAAGAGCCCAGACCUUCAGUUAAGGUCCCCAAGUGCGCGUUAAGUGGAAAAGGAUGUGGGAUUUCGAAGACAACCAGGAUGUUGGCUCAGAAGCAGCCAUCCAUUCAAAGAGUGCGUAAUAGCUCACUGGUCGAGAGGUCCUGCGCCGAAAAUGUCCGGGGCUGAAACGCGCCACCGAAACUAAGGAACCGAAAGGUUGGUAGAGGAGCAUUGCAUGCGGAACGAAGCAGUACCGUAAGGAGCUGUGGACUGCAUGGAAGAGAGAAUGCCGGAAUGAGUAGCGAG
rnacentral:rRNA from 1 species